rnacentral:rRNA from 1 species
GAUGAACGCUGACAGAAUGCUUAACACAUGCAAGUCUUUGGCGAAGCUGUGCUUGCACCGCCUAGCCAAGGCGGGCGGGUGAGUAACGCGUAAGGAACUUGCCCUGCAGUCAGGGAUAACAGACGGAAACGACUGAUAAGACCUGGUAAAGUCAGGCGGACUCAUGUCCAGCCUGAUGAAAAGUGAUGCUGCAGGAGAGCCUUGCGUCCUAUUAGCUUGUUGGUGGGGUAACGGCCCACCAAGGCGAUGAUAGGUAGCCGGCCUGAGAGGGUGGACGGCCACAAGGGGACUGAGAUACGGCCCUUACUCCUACGGGAGGCAGCAGUGGGGAAUAUUGGACAAUGGGGGCAACCCUGAUCCAGCAAUUCUGUGUGCACGAUGAAGGUUUUCGGAGUGUAAAGUGCUUUCAGCAGGGAAGAAAAAAAUGACGGUACCUGCAGAAGAAGCGACGGCUAAAUACGUG